AAGUACCAGUCUGAGAAAGUUAAUUUAAUUCUUCCACCACAUCCCCUAGUGGUGGUACACUGAAUCUGCUGCAUAGUUCCUUGUUAAAUUCAGGCAUCCUACAACUCCCGCACUCGAUAUCAGCGAAUGACACUAAACCUCUGAUACACCAUUCAAAUAGAGAGCUGUUGUUUCUACCUUUUGUUGCUCAAGAAUUUUAUAUAAAUUGAAAUACCCCACAUUUUCG
rnacentral:misc_RNA from 1 species